CCAGACUCCUACGGGAGGCAGCAGUGGGGAAUAUUGCACAAUGGGGGAAACCCUGAUGCAGCGACGCCGCGUGAGCGAUGAAGUGUUUCGGUAUGUAAAGCUCUAUCAGCAGGGAAGAAAAUGACGGUACCUGACUAAGAAGCCCCGGCUAACUACGUGCCAGCAGCCGCGGUAAUACGUAGGGGGCAAGCGUUAUCCGGAUUUACUGGGUGUAAAGGGAGCGUAGACGGCAUGGCAAGCCAGAUGUGAAAUACCGGGGCUCAACCCCGGGACUGCAUUUGGAACUGUUAAGCUGGAGUGUCGGAGAGGCAGGCGGAAUUCCUAGUGUAGCGGUGAAAUGCGUAGAUAUCAGGAGGAACACCGGCGGCGAAGGCGGCCUGCUGGACCGUAACUGACGUUGAGGCUCGAAAGCGUGGGGAGCAAACAGGAUUAGAUACCCGUGUA
rnacentral:rRNA from 1 species